rfam:Gorilla gorilla gorilla genomic chromosome, chr5, whole genome shotgun sequence
GGAUCCGAAGGUGAUUUGGCUGCACUAUCUGCCACCUCUUUGUUCACCAGAGUUGAAACUGCUGAUCUGGUUGCCUAGACUGAUGUUUCCUUCCUCCCUCCUCGCACCCCUCCAGAACCUGAGCACUCGGUCAAGAGGAUGACCUUCCCUUACAGAAAAGAACCAGUCUUCUGUAAAGAAUAGAAGAGUAGCUGCACUUGCCUGCUAGAAUUUCCAGACAAUUUCUCAAGAUCCUUUUUUUUUUC